rnacentral:rRNA from 1 species
GUGAGGAAUUUUCCGCAAUGGGCGAAAGCCUGACGGAGCAAUGCCGCGUGAAGGAUGAAGGCCUAUGGGUUGUAAACUUCUUUUCUCAGAAAAGAAUUAUGACGGUAUCUGAGGAAUAAGCAUCGGCUAACUCUGUGCCAGCAGCCGCGGUAAGACAGAGGAUGCAAGCGUUAUCCGGAAUGAUUGGGCGUAAAGCGUCUGUAGGUUGUUUAAAAAGUAUUCUGUCAAAGAUUAGGGCUUAACCCUAGAUAGGCAGAAUAAACUUUUAAGCUAGAGUUUGGUAGAGGCAGAGGGAAUUCCCGGUGGAGCGGUGAAAUGCGUAGAUAUCGGGAGGAACACCAAAGGCGAAGGCACUCUGCUGGGCCAAUACUAACACUGAGAGACGAAAGCGAGGGGAGCAAAUGGGAUUAGAAACCCCAGAAGUCC